rnacentral:rRNA from 1 species
GACGAACGCUGGCGGCGUGCUUAACACAUGCAAGUCGAACGGAAAGGCCCUGCUUUCAGGGUUCUCGAGUGGCGAACGGGUGGGUAACACGUGGGUGAUCUGCCCUGCACUUCGGGAUAAGCCUGUGCGACUAGGUCUAAUACCUGAUAGGAGCCAUUUUUAGUGGGAUGGUUGAAAAGUUUUUUCGGUGUUUGAUGAGAUCUCGGCCUAUCAGCUCGCUGGUGGGGUAAUUGCCUACGAAGGCGGCGACGGGUAGCCGGCCUGGGAGGGUGGACGGCGACAAUGGGACUGAGAUACGGCCCAGACGCCUACGGGAGGCAGCAGUCGGGAACAUGGCACAAUGGGCGCAAGCCUGAUGCAGCGACGCUGCGUGGGGGAUGCCGGCCUUCGGGUUGUAAACACCUUUCGAUGUGGAUGAAGCUUUUGUGACGGUACCUAGAUAAGAAGCACCGGCUAACUACGUG